rnacentral:rRNA from 1 species
AGGCGUAGUCGAUGGGAAACAGGUUAAUGUUCCUGUACUUGGUGUUACUGCGAAGGGGACGGAGAAGGCUAUGUUGGCCGGGCGACGGUUGUCCCGGUUUAAGCGAUGUAGGCAGGUUUUCCAGGCAAAUCCGGAAAAUCAAGGCUGAGGCGUGAUGACGAGGCACUACGGUGCUGAAGCAACAAAUGCCCUGCUUCCAGGAAAAGCCUCUAAGCAUCAGGUAACAUCAAAUCGUACCCCAAACCGACACAGGUGGUCAGGUAGAGAAUACCAAGGCGCUUGAGAGAACUCGGUGAAGGAACUAGGCAAAAUGGUGCCGUAACUUCGGGAGAAGGCACGCUGAUAUGUAGGUGAGGUCCUCGCGGAUGGAGCUGAAAUCAGUCGAAGAUACCAGCUGGCUGCAACUGUUUAUUAAAAACACAGCACUGUGCAAACACGAAAGUGGACGUAUACGGUGUGACGCCUCCCCGGUGCCGGAAGGUUAAUUGAUGGGGUUAGCGCAAGCGAAGCUCUUGAUCGAAGCCCCGGUAAACGGCGGCCGUAACUAUAACGGUCUCAGGUAGCGAAAUUCCUUGUCGGGUAAGUUCCGACCUGCACGAAUGGCGUAAUGAUGGCCAGGCUGUCUCCACCGAGACUCAGUGAAAUUGAACUCGCUGUGAAGAUGCAGUGUACCCGCGGCAAGACGGAAAGACCCCGUGAACCUUUACUAUAGCUUGACACUGAACAUUGAGCCUUGAUGUGUAGGAUAGGUGGGAGGCUUUGAAGUGUGGACGCCAGUCUGCAUGGAGCCGACCGAAAUACCACCCUUUAAUGUUUGAUGUUCUAACGUUGACCCGUAAUCCGGGUUGCGGACAGUGUCUGGUGGUAGUUUGACUGGGGCGGUCUCCUCCUAAAAGUAACGGAGGAGCACGAAGGUUGGCUAAUCCUGGUCGGACAUCAGGAGGUUAGUGCAAUGGCAUAAGCCAGCUUGACCGCGAGCGUGACGGCGCGAGCAGGUGCGAAAGCAGGUCAUAGUGAUCCGGUGGUUCUGAAUGGAAGGGCCAUCCUCAACGGAUAAAAGGUACUCCGGGGAUAACAGGCUGAUACCGCCCAAGAGUUCAUAUCGACGGCGGUGUUUGGCACCUCGAUGUCGGCUCAUCACACCCUGGGGCUGAAGUAGGUCCCAAGGGUAUGGCUGUUCGCCAUUUAAAGUGGUACGCGAGCUGGGUUUAGAACGUCGUGAGACAGUUCGGUCCCUAUUGCCGUGGGCGCUGGAGAACUGAGGGGCUGCUCCUAGUACGAGAGGACCGGAGUGGACGCAUCACUGGUGUUCGGUUGUCAUGCCAAUGGCACUGCCCGGUAGCAAAUGCGGAAGAGAUAAGUGCUGAAAGCAUCAAGCACGAAACUUGCCCCGAGAUGAGUUCUCCUGACUCCUUGAGAGUCCUGAAGGAACGUUGAAGACGACGACGUUGAUAGGCCGGGUGUGUAAGCGCAGCGAUGCGUUGAGCUAACCGGUACUAAUGAACCGUGAGUUA